GAUGAACGCUGGCGGCGUGCUUAACACAUGCAAGUCGAACGGAAAGGCCCAAGCUUGCUUGGGUACUCGAGUGGCGAACGGGUGAGUAACACGUGGGUGAUCUGCCCUGCACUUCGGGAUAAGCCUGGGAAGCUGGGUCUAAUACCGGAUAGGACGAUGGUUUGGAUGCCAUUGUGGAAAGUUUUUUCGGUGUGGGAUGAGCUCGCGGCCUAUCAGCUUGUUGGUGGGGUAAUGGCCUACCAAGGCGUCGACGGGUAGCCGGCCUGAGAGGGUGUACGGCCACAUUGGGACUGAGAUACGGCCCAGACUCCUACGGGAGGCAGCAGUGGGGAAUAUUGCACAAUGGGCGCAAGCCUGAUGCAGCGACGCCGCGUGGGGGAUGACGGCCUUCGGGUUGUAAACUCCUUUCGCUAGGGACGAAGCGUUUUUGUGACGGUACCUGGAGAAGAAGCACCGGCUAACUACGUG
rnacentral:rRNA from 1 species